GUCUUGUCAGUGAUGUCUUUAAAACACAAAUGUCUGAACAAAUGAUUUCCUGUGAUUCAUCCUUCUGUGCUGAGACAAGAC
ensembl:snoRNA